rnacentral:rRNA from 1 species
GACGAACGCUGGCGGCGUGCUUAACACAUGCAAGUCGAACGAUGACGACCGAGCUUGCUCGGUCUGAUUAGUGGCGAACGGGUGAGUAACACGUGAGCAACCUGCCCUUCACUCUGGGGUAACCUCGGGAAAUCGGGGCUAAUACCGGAUAUGAGCUCCUGUCGCAUGGUGGGUGUUGGAAAGUUUUUCGGUGAAGGAUGGGCUCGCGGCCUAUCAGUUUGUUGGUGAGGUAGUGGCUCACCAAGGCGAUGACGGGUAGCCGGCCUGAGAGGGCGACCGGCCACACUGGGACUGAGACACGGCCCAGACUCCUACGGGAGGCAGCAGUGGGGAAUAGUGCACAAUGGGCGAAAGCCUGAUGCAGCGACGCCGCGUGAGGGAUGACGGCCUUCGGGUUGUAAACCUCUUUCAGCAGGGAAGAAGCGAAAGUGACGGUACCUGCAGAAGAAGCGCCGGCUAACUACGUG